ACGAGAAACCACGCCAUUAUAGAUUGCUUUAUCUGGCAAUAUUCAAAUAUUAUAUUUUCUAGGUAUAAAUAGGUGUGCAGCAUUCGAGUGCAAGCAUAACACGUUUGUUUUUUGCAAAACUAUACACUUUGUAUUAGUAUCCUUCUAUAAGUUCUCCAAGAACCAACUCAAAAAACCAAAAAUGGGCGCAGAAAAAGUAUCAAUGAACAUCGUUGUCGUCGGACAAGUGCAAUCCGGCAAAGCCAUCAAGACUGUCGCCAAGACCAGCCCAGCUGUUGACCAGGCCAUGAACUGUUAAUGAAAUAAUUCCAUGAUGUCAAACUCAAAAUUGCCAUAGACCACACAAUGCAUAUAUUUACUUAUACCAUAAUAAUAAUAUGUAUUGACAUGCUCAAAUAAAUUUUUAAAAAUCCGCCGUUAAAA